rnacentral:tRNA from 1 species
ACCUGGCUGGCUCAGUCAGUAGAGCAUGUGAUUCUUGAUCUCAGAGUCAUGAGUUCAAGCCCCAUGUUGGAUA